rnacentral:rRNA from 1 species
GGGGGCCCGCACAAGCGGUGGAGUAUGUGGUUUAAUUCGAUGCAACGCGAAGAACCUUACCAGGGCUUGACAUGUCGCGAAUCCCCUUGAAAGGGGGGAGUGCCUUCGGGAGCGCGAGCACAGGUGGUGCAUGGCUGUCGUCAGCUCGUGUCGUGAGAUGUUGGGUUAAGUCCCGCAACGAGCGCAACCCACGUUUCUAGUUGCCAGCAUUCAGUUGGGCACUUUAGAGAGACUGCCGGUGACAAACCGGAGGAAGGUGUGGAUGACGUCAAGUCAGCAUGCCCCUUACGUCCUGGGCUACACACGUACUACAAUGCUUCGGACAGAGGGUUGCCAGCCCGCGAGGGUGCGCUAAUCCCGUAAACCGAGGCUCAGUUCAGAUUGCAGGCUGCAACUCGCCUGCAUGAAGGCGGAAUCGCUAGUAAUCGCCGGUCAGCAUACGGCGGUGAAUACGUUCCCGGGCCUUGUACACACCGCCCGUCACACCAUGGGAGUUGGCCACGCCCGAAGUUGUUACCCUAACCUU